rnacentral:rRNA from 1 species
UGGGGAAUAUUGCACAAUGGGCGGAAGCCUGAUGCAGCAACGCCGCGUGCGGGAUCACGGCCUUCGGGUUGUAAACCGCUUUCGCCUGUGACGAAGCGUGAGUCACGGUACUGGGUAAAGAAGCACCGGCUAACUACGUGCCAGCAGCCGCGGUCAUACGUAGGGUGCGAGCGUUGUCCGGAUUUAUUGGGCGUAAAGGGCUCGUACGUGGUUGAUCGCGUCGGAAGUGUAAUCUUGGGGCUUAACCCUGAGCGUGCUUUCGAUACGGGUUCAC